UGAAAGAAAAGACAUGUACAGUGUGUGUGAGCUGCAGUGUAAGCAUGCACACAGAUGGUAAAAGCAGUUGGCUGGCAGCUGUUAUUCAAAGCUGCACUGACGUCUGGGAGUUAUAGUCUGUGCUGCAAACAAGGAAAACAUAUUUAGGAGAAAUAAGGGGCCAAGGGAGCUGCAAAAACCACAUGAAUAACUACAGAGGACACAGAACAGGCAGCUAUGUAGAAGCUCAAGGCCCCCGACUGCACUCCUGCUCCUCCGAGAUCGGUGUGCACCCGCAAAGCUGUUUAUGCCCAGAUAUGAGACGCCAUCCACACGAGGGAGACCAGCGAACACCAUCUGCGCUGACAUCUCCGGAUCUCCGCAGCAUUGCACGGUAAACAUCAGGUCCAGUGCCGUCUGAACCAGCCAUGCCGGCGCAUGCAAGCGCCCACAGGGCAGCACAACAUAGCGAGGUAUACCAAGAAAUCUCACUAUCUGGUAAUAUACUAUUGUUGCAUUACACAGUAUGCCACUGACCUACACUGGAUAACAUUCUGGACAUAUGUAUAUUUGUUCAUACUCAUUUUCUCCAGACUUUGUUGCUUUGUACCGGAUUACCAGACAGACAGAAUUGCCGGACUAACUGUCACACUGCAGU